rnacentral:lncRNA from 1 species
CCCAUCCAUAUCCAUUUAUAUACCUUAAAUUAAGCACAGACACAUUUACACACACACACACAAGGGAUUGUCAGGUCUGAGGAGCAUUGCAGGAAAUCAGGGAACAGGAAGCAGCCAAGAAUACAUAAGCAGGUAGCUACCAGACAAGAUCACAAAGAAAAUCAAUCACAAAGAAGAUAAUCACCUAUGUAAUUCCUAAAUGUGCUUAGGAAGAACAAUUUAUGCUUA